rnacentral:lncRNA from 1 species
CCUCUCACCAUGCCUAGUUGCUCAGAGAAGAACGAGCAUCUCCCUGGAAGGAAACUCUAGCUUCCUCCACCGCGAUCGCCGCCGCUAAACUUCUCACUAUCGCCGUCAGUCGCGCCGGAGAUAUUUGUUUAUUCGUUCUGCUCCAGGCCCGCGUCUCAAUCGCUAGUCGUGAGCUUCGCUACGGUAGUUUUUGAGUUGUCACAGUCUAUAACCCCUCAUCUUGCUCAGUCGGUCUUUUCCCGUCAUUCCUCGUCGUGCUCGUCGUCUACCGUGCUUGUCACAAGAAGGUAAUAGCUGCUCUACCAACUAAAUCAUUAGCUUUGGCUCGGCUAAUAAUAGAGAAAUAAUAAACCAUCUGUAUCUAGUAACAAAAGCAGAAAUCAUUUAGAAAACAAAACAUCCUUAUUACUAAUGCUUUUAUCGCCAAAGAAUCUUGGUCCUCUGACGAGGAAAGUCAAUUUAUUUUGUGUUUGGAAAACAACAUAUGCCUAACAUUUAUGGAGUAGGUUUUGGUUUUUAUGCUGUGUAGGUUGAUCAAAACUGGCCCAAAUUUAAAGUUGGUAAAUCCAUUACACAAUCCUAAUAGAUAUAGGCCUAAUUAAUGUCGCUGGACGACUAGAUCUCUUUGGUUUAUUGAAUUGAAGAUUUAAUUACUAUUUUUAGGGGACAAAAAAAUGCAAACACCAAUGUUGAGAAUUUGUUGACUAAGGAUUAUCAUUGUGACUCUUCAUAAUAAGUAAAUGAAUAUUUCAAUCAGAAUUAUAUUGGUAAAAGUGAAUCUUUAAUUCAUAUAGCUGAUUGAAAGUAUAAGGAAUAAAAUAUUCAGUAUUAUAGUUUGUGUAACUUAAGGAAAAAUGUCUUACAAGGGAAGCAACUAACAAUGACCAAAUAUUCUUAUUGCUUUUAGUGCAAGUCAUUAAUCAUAUAACAUAUUGGGUCGUGCUAGUGUGAAAUGAUAUUGUUCGUAAUAAGUAGAUCUCACGCAUACCAAAUUCACCUAAUACUCUAAUAGAAUAUGACUGUCAUUUCUACUUGUUUUGGUUCUUACUAUAAUCUCAAUUAAACCACUUAUUGUUCUUGUUCUUUUUUUUUUUUAACCUUUUGGAAUUUUGUUGAAUAGCUCAAGUGAACCAUUCAAUUACGUAGAAAAUAUAGAAAAGUGACAAGUUUUGAGAAACUGAUCAAAGAUUGAAUAAGUUUAUUAAUGAUAGUUACAAAUUGAAGAAACAUGUUUAUGUAGGUACAAAGAGUGAAGGCAGUUGCAAGUGGCUGCAUAUGGAAUUAACUUUGUUGAGCUAUUGUCCUCAAGAAUUUAUCACCCUACAUACCCUAAAAAACUACACUCAAAGAUAAAACAGAUAACAAUCAACAUGUAUGUAAUAGUUUUGUAUGAUUAGUUUUGGCUAUACUUUUUGCACCAAACCCUUAGUAUGGUAUUGUCGUUGUUUGCUUAUCAUUUUUGACAUUUUGUUACGUUAAUAUUUGACAUUAUAAUAUUUUUAUUUUUUAAUUCCGGCCAUGAAAUUCUAGAAAGGAUUGUUACCCUUUUGUUAACAAAUGUGCUAAAAACAUUGUUCAAAGUAUGAUGGUAUAUAGCUUGUUAAUUUUUUUGUUUAACUUAAUGAAGAAAAGCAUAAUUUGGUCAGCUUCUUUAGGGGAAGAAAUAACUUGUAAAACCUUGUUUUUUUCUUUAACAAAGAAAACUAAAUUAGGUCAAAAAAAAUUUUUCAACUUAGUGACUUUUUUCAUGAAUUUUCUGGUGAUAUAAUGAGCGUUAAAUAUAUUAAUUAUUCCUACACCAGUGAUAUAAUGUGUUUUUUUUAAUUCUAAAGAUUUGCUGUUUGUGGCUUUCUAUUCAUACAUCGGUAUAUUUUUCAAAUUAAACCAAAUAUUUUUUUCGAUAAAUGGGUUCUUAAUUUUCAUUAUUAUUAUUAAUAUUAUUCGUACUUGCGAGUAAUCUCUUCCAAUUUUUUUUGUGUCCAUUCGAUCAUUCUUGUUGACUUUAUUCUUUUUUUUUUUUUGGGUUUCUUAAUUGAGGUGAUAAUUUCUCUCCUAAUUCAGAAGUAAAAAUUUUGCAAAACAAUUAACACUACACAAAAAUAUAUGCACUUGUCAUAAACAUGUCAUCUAAUAAUAAGACCAUAAUUAGUUAUCCAAACACUAAAAAGAAACUCGUAUAUUUCACCCACUCCUUGUAAAAGAAGGGUUCAUACAGAGCCUAACGCAACUAUGAAUCCUUUUGCCUUUUUUAUAUAUAUAUAGGUUCAUAAAUAUAUUACAAUAACAGAACAAAAUAUGGUUACAAAUACAAAAUACGAGUUGCUCUCAAGCGUGUGUCUUUGCAAAGAUUUAUAAGGAAAACAAAGAUUAAUUCAACAACUUAUUACACAUUAAUAGAGUUCAAAUAGUUAACAAGACUAUAGCCAAUCGUUGUCCAAUUAUCAAUAACCAUAAAUUUGUAAUUUAUUCUAGACCCAGCCAAGGGUCCAUACAAACUCUGCUAUCUGGCCAAAAGGGUCUUCUGUCCUCAUCAGUAAAGAAUUAAUGAAUAGAAAAAUAGUUUAAUUAUUCGGUUGGUUCCUAUAGUUUUACCAAAUUUUGAAUUAUGAUUUUAUAUUUUUUGUUCCUUUCAAUUGGUUCCUACAUUAUUUUUAAUUUUAUAAUUAGAUCAUUUCUAGUAUAACAAAUAUUAGAGUUAAUUGAAUAUUUCUUUGCAAGUUGAACAUAUUUAUAAUUAAAAAUCUAAUUAAAAAUACAUAAACCUAAUUAAAAAUUUGAUAUAACUAUAAGAACCAAUAAAAUAGUUAAACCUACGAAAAAAAAUAAGAUGCAUCUAUAACCGUCUUUCAAAUUCGAAACUAAGAUAUCUAAAACUGCGAAAUCUUCUUAAACCAGCACACACUCAUCAUUGUUUAAGGAUAAUAAUUCACUCCCCAAGGUAUGAAGCACUAACUCCUUACCCCUUGAAGUCUCUUAUUUGGAUGUUCGGAUUAAUACACACUAUGGUACAGAAAUAAAUUGAUAUAGAUUUAUAUUUUUUUUUUGUUUAAUGCUGUAGUAACAUGUGGUCUGGAUUAUUUCUUUCAGCAGUUAGAUUUGCAGGACUUGUCAGGCAACAGCGCAGCGCAAUGGCUUGACCAAACUGUUAAUG